AGCCGGACUGAGAGGUUGAACGGCCACAUUGGGACUGAGACACGGCCCAGACUCCUACGGGAGGCAGCAGUGGGGGAUAUUGCACAAUGGGGGAAACCCUGAUGCAGCGACGCCGCGUGUGGGAAGACGGUCUUCUGGAUUGUAAACCACUGUCCCCAGGGACGAAAAUGACGGUACCUGGGGAGGAAGCUCCGGCUAACUACGUGCCAGCAGCCGCGGUAAUACGUAGGGAGCAAGCGUUGUCCGGAAUUACUGGGUGUAAAGGGAGCGUAGGCGGGGAUGCAAGUUGGGUGUCAAAACUAUCGGCUCAACCGAUAGUCGCACUCAAAACUGCAGCUCUUGAGUGAAGUAGAGGCAGGCGGAAUUCCUAGUGUAGCGGUGAAAUGCGUAGAUAUUAGGAGGAACACCAGUGGCGAAGGCGGCCUGCUGGGCUUUUACUGACGCUGAGGCUCGAAAGUGUGGGGAGCAAACAGGAUUAGAUACCCUGGUAGUCCACACCGUAAAC
rnacentral:rRNA from 1 species